UGAUUAGUGGCGGACGGGUGAGUAACAUUUAGGAAUCUACCUAGUAGUGGGGGAUAGCUCGGGGAAACUCGAAUUAAUACCGCAUACGACCUACGGGUGAAAGGGGGCGCAAGCUCUUGCUAUUAGAUGAGCCUAAAUCAGAUUAGCUAGUUGGUGGGGUAAAGGCCCACCAAGGCGACGAUCUGUAACUGGUCUGAGAGGAUGAUCAGUCACACCGGAACUGAGACACUGUCCGG
rnacentral:rRNA from 1 species